rnacentral:ncRNA from 1 species
UUUGGGCGUACAACAUCGGGGGACGUGUCCCCAACGUGGAGCUCAGGGAAAUGAACCUCACUAAUAGCAAGAGCUUAUUACAGACUUGGAAAAGUGGAACAUAAAGCGUUGGGUGGAGUUUGGUAGGGUAUAAAGAAAUACAGCCGAAGAAGUCAGACCCA